rnacentral:rRNA from 1 species
AUGGUCUACAUUGUGGAUGACAUAUUUGAUCUUGUCGCCACACAAGAGGAGCUCUAUCUCUUUAAUGAGGCGAUCAAAAUGUGGGAUCUUGCAGCUGCUGAGUCACUGCCGAGUUACAUGAUAUCAUGUUACAAGGCUCUUUACACCAUCACAAAUGAUAUCGCUGAUAUGGUCAGAAAAGAGCAUGGAUUGAACCCUAUCAAUCAUCUCAAGCAAGCAUGGGCAACUUUGUUUGAUGGAUUCAUGAUCGAGGGAAAAUGGCUAUCUACUAAUCAGGUUCCUACAUCGGAGGACUACCUAAGAAAUGGUGUCAUCACUUCAGGAGCACCACUUUUAUUUAUGCAUCUUUUAUUCAUGCUUGGGCAUGAUUUAACGGAGGACAACAACGACCACAUCCUUAGGGUCAUCUCUUGCCCUGCAAAGAUCAUGAGGCUCUGGGAUGACAUGGGGAGUGCAAAGGAUGAGUUGCAGGAAGGGCUCGACGGAUCAUACAAGGAUUUGUACCAGAGAGAAAACCCUCAUGCUGAUGCGGAGAAGCACAUGUUGGAUAUGAUAGCGGGUGAAUGGGAGGAUCUAAACAGGGAAUGCUUCUCUCAGACAAAGUCCACACUACCACCUAGCUUCAUCGGGGCGUCUCUCAACUUUGCAAGGAUGGUCAGCAUCAUGUAUGGCUAUGACGACGAGCAGAAGCUCCCCGCCCUGGAGGAUUACACUAGGAUGUUGCUCUUUUGA